rnacentral:lncRNA from 1 species
GGGUUGGGGGAUGGGGGGGGGGGGAUGUGGAUUCUUUUAAGAAUGUGGAUAUUUGGGUCAUCUUUGGCGCCCCCUAGAACGUAAAGCGUGGGGUGCAGCGUCAUGAUUUUUACAACUUUGAAUGACCAUGGGGUGUAGAUUGGCCUGAGCAAAUUUGGUGUCAGUGGGACGAAAGCCUUAGGAGGAGUUAGCCACAUUCCAAUGUGUGCGAAUCGGCAAAAAAUGCAAAAUAGCCCUUUAACCGUACAUUUGACAGAUACGCGCGCAUUGACUUUUUUGUAGAUCUUAUUGAGAUACAUGUGAUUGUCAAAUUUUGUGUCAAUAUGAUAAAGCGUACAGGCGUGACAGUCAAUAGUGUGAAUUUCCACCUUAGGGGACAAGAAAAAAUUGACUUUUUUCUCCUGCCAUGGGGGGCGCUCUUUUGGGGAGUAAAAAUUCCUUCACAAAUGUGUUGAUGGCUGGACAUUGCAUCAUCCUAGAAAACUUGGAGGCCAGUGAGGACAAAAAUAAAAAGUUAUAAGACUUUUAAAUAUGUGGAUUUUAGGGUUAUCUUUGGCGCCCCCUAGAACCUAAACCGUGGGGUGCAGCGUCAUGAUUUGAAUAACUUUUAAUGGCCAUGGGGUGUAGAUUGGCCUGAGCAAAUGUGGUGCCGGUGGAAUGAAAGCCUUCGGAGGAGUUAGCGAAAUUCCAAUGUGUGCGGAUCGGCAAAAAAUGCGGAAUAACCCUUUAACCGUACAUUUGACAGAUACGCGCCCAUUGACUUUUUCGUAGAUCUUAUUGAGAUACAUGUGUGUGUCAAUUUUUGUGUCAUUUUGCCAAAGCGUACAGGUGUUACACUCAACAAUGUGUAUUUUCACCUUAGGGGACAAGAAAAAAUGGACUUUUUUCUCCUGCCAUGGGGGGGCGCUCUUUUGGGGAGUAAAAAUUCCUUCACAAAUGUGUUGAUGGCUGGACAUUGCAUCAUCCUAGAAAACUUGGAGGCCAGUGAGGGCAAAAAUAAAAAGUUAUAAGACUUUUAAAUAUGUGGAUCUUAGGGUUAUCUUUGGCGCCCCCUAGAACCUAAACCGUGGGGUGCAGCGUCAUGAUUUGAAUAACUUUUAAUGGCCAUGGGGUGUAGAUUGGCCUGAGCAAAUGUGGUGCCGGUGGAACGAAAGCCUUUGGAGGAGUUAGCGAAAUUCCAAUGUGUGCGGAUCGGCAAAAAAUGCGAAAUAACCCUUUAACCGUACAUUUGACAGAUACGCCCGCACUGACUUUUUUGUAGAUCUUAUUGAGAUACAUGUGUGUGUCAAUUUUUGUGUCAUUUUGACAAAGCGUACAGGCGUGACAGUCAAUAGUGUGAAUUUUCACCUUAGGGGGCGCUAUGGAGCCAUUUUGCAUUUUCUUGUUUGGGCGACUUCGGAAUAUAAAAUUUUUCACCAGGCCCGGUCGUCCUGCCAAAUUUCAUGAGUUUUCGCCAGUGGGAAGUGGGCCAUUUUCCAGUUCAAAGGGGAGGAAAAAUAAUAAUAACAAAAGAAGGAAACUACAGGAACAAGAGGGCUCUCGCAGCUGCUUAGCAGCUACGCUCGGGCCCUAACUAGGACCCCGUUGGGGCACUGGCGGGCCCGAGCCGUGUCGCGUCCCCCCCCCCCACCCAACGUGCUGCCUCCCCGUCCCAUUUGUGUCCUCUGGCCAUCGCCCUCUCUGGUAACGCCCAUCACUGCAAAGACCCUUUUCCUUCAUCGGCGUUUGCUGUUCUUCCUGCCAGUGCGUGUUGCUUUCACUUACACUUGCCACAGCCAGCCUCGUGUGUGCCUAGCCUAUUGUAUAUCACUGUCACCUACACAGGACAGUCAUUACCUUUCUAUUAAUACUUUGUGUUUUAAUUUCACAUUAAUUUCCAUAUUGUAUAAACGACUGGAAAAAACUUGAGCCCCUGCCCCUGUAUAAUCAUGUGCAUGUCUCUGUUCUAGCUCCAAGGUGAAUCUUCACUGCUCAUGUUCUCCUCAGAAGCACUCACCUCACUCCCCUCAGGUUACUGUACACAUGCACCAACUGCCUGCUUCAGGUUUGGAUGGAGCUUCAUGGUUGUCUUUUGGAGAAAUGACCAGUCAAGUUGUGUUUGAAAUUUGAUUUUUUUCAGGGGCAAAAGGAGCCUCUGCAUUCUUGUCAAAUAUGUAAAUAGCAUGUUUUUGCAGGUGCUAAAAACCAGACUCUGAGUGUGUGUGUGUGUGUGUGUGUGUGUGUGUGUGUGUGUGUGUGUGUGUGUGUGUGUGUGAGUGUGUGUGUGUCUGUGUGUGCGUUCAAGUCACAUGACAUAUUUAAUCGGAUGUAGCGGCAAGACGGAGCCUCGUUGACUCUCCGUUUCAACUUAUCUCAAAAGUGAGGACCUCAACCUAUAUACCAGUUUUUAAAUUGUGUUGAUAGGCCAAAUAAAACCAGAGUUAUGAUAAAUUAUGUCCGCGAUACUUUUUUUCUGCUUAUUUUGAUCACGUUCGGCGCUCGAUCGCGCUGUAUGAGACAGGAAAACAUAGCAUGCAGACAUUAGCGACAGGUCUUACAGGCGGAAAAGGCUUGCCAAAAGAAAAAAAAAACACACCACAACAUCUCUCCUAUUGGUGGAAAACUUCACCACAACAACCAAUCCAAAAUUAUAUGGUGACUGAUUGACAAGGGGCGGGCGCUUACGUUCUUCCUGCAACAUGAGAAGGGAGGGAGGGACUCUCAGCAGGGAUGCAGUCUGGGACACGUAGUUGCAAACCUAGCGACUUUGUUGUUAGAUUCAAUGACUUUUCAGACCCCCUAACGACUUUUUUUUAGAAAGAAAGGGACUUUUAUCGACUUCUUCUGGAGUUUAGAGACUCUGACAUGAAGCAGGCUUUCCUUACUGAGGAGUUAGCAACGCUGCUAAGGGUGCAGAGCCACACAUGCGCUCAGAGCUCUGCAUGGGAGACUGAAGCUGACAGAGCUGCAGCAGUUAGCAGGUUUCACCCUCAGAGACCACCAGGGGUUCAUGUUGAGGCAUUUUAAAUUUUUUUUUUUUUUUGUGCCAUAGACACUGUCAGCACAAUCUGCAGUUACACUAACAAAAAUGCUGCAAAAAACAAAGAAUUAUGGAAAAAUUACACAUGGACUGACAUAGAGGAGGAUCUACACAAGUUUUUUACAUCAUGUUUUACAUCAUGCAUCAUUUACAUCAUGUUUUUUUGUAGUGGCAUAAAUAAAAAGUGACAUUUGUGAGACUAUACAGUGUUUUGUAAAUAAUUUUACAAAGAACGCCUGGGCCAUUGCCUGCAUUUUGAUGAAAAUAGAGGUAAAUCACUAUGUUCUUUGUUAAAAAUUUGCAUAUGUUUUGAAGUUUACAAUUUUUAUUUGAAGUUUAAGUUUUAAAAACAGUUCAUCACACAUAUUUGUGGUUUUCACAGUAAAAAUGUUACUUUUUUCCACUCGGAUUUUAUGUUUUGUGUGUGAAUUUGGGUCCAUUGUGUAAAUUCAGUAUGUCAACAUGAUAAAAUAACUGUAAAUUCGCACAGGUGAGGUUGUGCUGAAAAAAAUGAUACCAGGCAAGGCACGUGAUUGUCAAAUUUUGUGUCAAUAUGACAAAGCGUAUAGGCGUGAAUCUCAACAAUAUGUAUUUUCACCUUAGGGGACAAGAAAAAAUGGACUUUUUUCUCCUGCCAUGGGGGGGCGCUCUUUUGGGGAGUAAAAAUUCCUUCACAAAUGUGUUGAUGGCUGGACAUUGCAUCAUCCUAGAAAACUUGGAGGCCAGUGAGGACAAAAAUAAAAAGUUAUAAGACUUUGAAAUAUGUGGAUUUUAGGGUUAUCUUUGGCGCCCCCUAGAACCUAAACCGUGGGGUGCAGCGUCAUGAUUUGAAUAACUUUUAAUGGCCAUGGGGUGUAGAUUGUCCUGAGCAAAUGUGGUGCCGGUGGAACGAAAGCCUUAGGAGGAGUUAGCCACAUUCCAAUGUGUGCGGAUCGGCAAAAAAUGCGGAAUAACCCUUUAACCGUACAUUUGACAGAUACGCGCGCAUUGACUUUUUCGUAGAUCUUAUUGAGUUACAUGUGUGUGUCAAUUUUUGUGUCAUUUUGACAAAGCGUAUAGGCGUGACACUCAACAAUGUGUAUUUUUACCUUAGGGAACAAGAAAAAAUGGACUUUUUUCUCCUGCCAUGGGGGGCGCUCUUUUGGGGAGUAAAAAUUCCUUCACAAAUGUGUUGAUGGCUGUACAUUGCAUCAUCCUAGAAAACUUGGAGGCCAGUGAGGACAAAAAUAAAAAGUUAUAAGACUUUUAAAUAUGUGGAUUUUAGUGUUAUCUUUGGCGCCCCCUAGAACCUAAACCUUGGGGUGCAGCGUCAUGAUUUUGAUAACUUUUAAUGGCCACGGGGUGUAGAUUGGCCUGAGCAAAUGUGGUGCCGGUGGAACGAAAGCCUUCGGAGGAGUUAGCGAAAUUCCAAUGUGUGCGGAUCGGAAAAAAAUGCGAAAUAACCCUUUAACC